UACGUAGGGUGCAAGCGUUGUCCGGAAUUAUUGGGCGUAAAGAGCUCGUAGGCGGUCUGUCGCGUCGGACGUGAAAACCCAGGGCUCAACCCUGGGCCUGCGUUCGAUACGGGCAGACUAGAGUCCGGGAGAGGAGAGUGGAAUUCCUGGUGUAGCGGUGAAAUGCGCAGAUAUCAGGAAGAACACCCGUGGCGAAAGCGGCUCUCUGGAACGGUACUGACGCUGAGACGCGAAAGCGUGGGGAGCGAACAGG
rnacentral:rRNA from 1 species